UACAGAGGGGGCAAGCGUUGUUCGGAAUUACUGGGCGUAAAGGGCGCGUAGGCGGCCUGUUAAGUCGGACGUGAAAUCCCCGGGCUCAACCCGGGAACUGCGUCCGAUACUGGCAGGCUUGAAUCCGGGAGAGGGAUGUGGAAUUCCAGGUGUAGCGGUGAAAUGCGUAGAUAUCAGGAGGAACACCGAUGGCGAAGGCAGGUCUCUGGGCCACUACUGACGCUGAGAAGCGAAAGCGUGGGGAGCGAACAGG
rnacentral:rRNA from 1 species